rnacentral:rRNA from 1 species
UACGUAGGGUGCAAGCGUUGUCCGGAAUUAUUGGGCGUAAAGAGCUCGUAGGCGGCCUGUUGCGUCCGCUGUGAAAUCCCGGGGCUCAACCCCGGGCCUGCAGUGGAUACGGGCUGGCUAGAGGCAGGCAGGGGAGAACGGAAUUCCUGGUGUAGCGGUGAAAUGCGCAGAUAUCAGGAGGAACACCGGUGGCGAAGGCGGUUCUCUGGGCAUGUUCUGACGCUGAGGAGCGAAAGUGUGGGGAGCGAACAGG